rnacentral:rRNA from 1 species
UACGUAGGGUGCAAGCGUUAAUCGGAAUUACUGGGCGUAAAGCGUGCGCAGGCGGUGAUGUAAGACAGAUGUGAAAUCCCCGGGCUCAACCUGGGACCUGCAUUUGUGACUGCAUCGCUAGAGUACGGUAGAGGGGGAUGGAAUUCCGCGUGUAGCAGUGAAAUGCGUAGAGAUGUGGAGGAACACCGAUGGCGAAGGCAGCCCCCUGGGUCAAAACUGACGCUCAUGCGCGAAAGCGUGGGGAGCAAACAGG